rnacentral:rRNA from 1 species
UACGUAGGGGGCAAGCGUUGUCCGGAUUUAUUGGGCGUAAAGAGCGUGUAGGCGGCUUGGAAGGUCAGCUGUGAAAACUCGAGGCUCAACCUCGAGACGUCGGUUGAAACCAUCUGGCUAGAGUCCGGAAGAGGAGAAUGGAAUUCCCGGUGUAGCGGUGAAAUGCGCAGAUAUCGGGAAGAACACCCGUGGCGAAGGCGGUUCUCUGGGACGGUACUGACGCUGAGACGCGAAAGCGUGGGGAGCGAACAGG